rnacentral:rRNA from 1 species
CCCUUAGAUGUUCUGGGCGGCCCGCGCACUACAUUGGCACUCUCAAUAAGUUCCUAGAUCUAAAACUUUGGGGUAUUCUAUUAAGUGGUGUCGUGACUGGGAUUAACCCUUGCAAUUAUUGGUUACGAACGAGGAAUUCCUUGUAAUCGCGGUUUAUCAGCCCGCGUUGAAUGCGUCCCUGCCCUUUGUACACACCGCCCGUCGCUCCUACCGAUGAACCGUCCGGUGAAGUUCAUGGAGUGGUGGUUGUUCCAGCUGCUGUCGAAGUGAAAUGGACCUCACGAUUUAGAGGAAGGAGAAGUCGUAACA